rnacentral:antisense_RNA from 1 species
AGCGCGGCCGCGGGGGGAGUCCGUUUCCUUGAAGGUCCUCCGUCCUGGAGCAGUAAGAUCCUUGACGUAACUAGAAAUGGCAGGACGGAGUCUCGCUCUGUCACCCAAGCUGGAAUGCCGUGGCGCGAUCUUAGUUCACUGCAACCUCUGCCUCCUGGGUCCAAGCCAUUCUCCUGCCUCAGCCUCCCGAGUAGGUGGGAUUGCAAUCACAUGCCACCAUGCCUGGUAUUUUUAUUGUAUCUUUUAUUUUUUUAUGGUAUUUUUAGUACAGACAGUUUCACCAUGGUGGCCAGGCUGUUCUCGAACUCCUGACCUCAUAAUCUCCCCGCCUCGACCUCCCAAAGUGCUGGGAUUAUAGGCGUGAGUCCCUGUGCCCGGCUGGCA